UACGUAGGGUGCAAGCGUUGUCCGGAAUUAUUGGGCGUAAAGAGCUCGUAGGCGGCCUGUCACGUCGGCUGUGAAAACCCGGGGCUCAACCCCGGGCCUGCAGUCGAUACGGGCAGGCUAGAGUCCGGCAGGGGAGACUGGAAUUCCUGGUGUAGCGGUGAAAUGCGCAGAUAUCAGGAGGAACACCGGUGGCGAAGGCGGGUCUCUGGGCCGGAACUGACGCUGAGGAGCGAAAGCGUGGGGAGCGAACAGG
rnacentral:rRNA from 1 species